AGAGUUUGAUCCUGGCUCAGGAUGAACGCUGGCGGCGUGCCUAAUACAUGCAAGUCGAACGAAUCUUCUUCGGAAGAUGAGUGGCGAACGGGUGAGUAAUACAUAGGUAACCUGCCCCUGUGCGGGGGAUAACAGGAGGAAACUCCUGCUAAUACCGCAUAGCCAUGAGCACCGCAUGGAGCUCAUGCCAAAUAUCCUUUCGGGGAUAGCGCAGGGAUGGACCUAUGGCGCAUUAGCUAGUUGGCGGGGCAACGGCCCACCAAGGCAACGAUGCGUAGCCGGCCUGAGAGGGCGGACGGCCACAUUGAGACUGAGACACGGCCCAGACUCCUACGGGAGGCAGCAGUAGGGAAUUUUCGGCAAUGGGGGAAACCCUGACCGAGCAACGCCGCGUGAGCGAAGAAGGCCUUCGGGUCGUAAAGCUCUGUUGUAAAGGAAGAACGGCGCAUACAGGAAAUGGUAUGCGAGUGACGGUACUUUACCAGAAAGCCACGGCUAACUACGUGCCAGCAGCCGCGGUAAUACGUAGGUGGGGAGCGUUAUCCGGAAUCAUUGGGCGUAAAGAGGGAGCAGGCGGCCGCAAGGGUCUGUGGUGAAAGACCGAAGCUAAACUUCGGUAAGCCAUGGAAACCGGGCGGCUAGAGUGCGGAAGAGGAUCGUGGAAUUCCAUGUGUAGCGGUGAAAUGCGUAGAUAUAUGGAGGAACACCAGUGGCGAAGGCGACGGUCUGGGCCGCAACUGACGCUCAUUCCCGAAAGCGUGGGGAGCAAAUAGGAUUAGAUACCCUAGUAGUCCACGCCGUAAACGAUGG
rnacentral:rRNA from 1 species